GCCUGCGGGUGCUGCCCGCUCAGUCUCCAGGUGGGAAGUGCGCUCGCCCCGGACCGAGGGGAAAGCCCAGCAUCCCCGGGAUGGUACAGAGAGGCGGCCACCCGCGAGUGGGCGUGACCCAUCGGUUCCCUUGCGCAGCAUCUUUGGAGAAUUAAGCUUUCGCCUCCUCUCUUGCCAGCCGUUGUUUCUAAUCUUGUCUUUUUUAAGGGAGGAAAGCAGGAGAAUUCAUGACACUUUGUAUCACAGGAAAUCAAGUUGGUGGACAGAGGGUUUGCUGACCUCUCCCGUCCCUCCUCAGGGUCCCUAGGAGAAUUUUUGAAGAAGUAAUCGGCAGCAAGGAGAUGGGGGCAAUAGAGAGUCUCAGACUCGCAGGGACCCAUGUUCGUCCCCAGCGCCACUACUUUCAAACCGUUAUCCCUCAGAGCUGUUUCCUCACCUCCACAACAACUCUCCCGGGUUCGAUGACACUAUAUAUCCCACCAGUUCAUCUUGGUACAGGCCAAAAGGAUGGUAGCUGAGGCGAUGACAUCUCUGAAGAGAAAGGGCCUGCAGCCAGGAACCCAGGGAAUCUCUACCAUGCCUACUACUGGUCAACAAGGAAGAGCCCCACAUCAGGCAGUUAGACAUCUGGGAGGAAAAGCCAAGAGACAACUGGAAGUCUCUGUUCACCACCACCGCC